rnacentral:rRNA from 1 species
UACGUAGGUGGCGAGCGUUGUCCGGAAUUACUGGGCGUAAAGGGUGCGUAGGCGGCCGAGUAAGUCAGCGGUGAAAUUUUGCAGCUUAACUGUAACAGUGCCGUUGAUACUGCAUGGCUAGGAUUUGGUUGCUGUGGGUGGAAUGUGUGGUGUAGCGGUGAAAUGCUUAGAUAUCACACAGAAUAUCGAUUGCGAAGGCAGCUCACAAAGCCAAGAUUGACGCUGAGGCACGAAAGUGUGGGGAUCAAA